CGGACGGGUGAGUAAUGUCUGGGGAAACUGCCUGAUGGAGGGGGAUAACUACUGGAAACGGUAGCUAAUACCGCAUAACGUCGCAAGACCAAAGAGGGGGACCUUCGGGCCUCUUGCCAUCGGAUGUGCCCAGAUGGGAUUAGCUAGUAGGUGGGGUAAAGGCUCACCUAGGCGACGAUCCCUAGCUGGUCUGAGAGGAUGACCAGCCACACUGGAACUGAGACACGGUCCAG
rnacentral:rRNA from 1 species